ACCGCAUUCUGCCGUGAUGGAGGCCAGCCCUCCGUACACAAAGGGCUUCCAGCUGAGGGCCGACAUUCUCACCACCGUCCCCGCUCCUUCGAGUCACAGAAACAUAGCCUCCAACAGGGUUUUUCCUGCACACGCAAAGGAAAACGUUUCAAAGAUGUGACUUGUCACACAGGCAGUUUCUUCUUUAAACUUGAGUUUCAUCUGGAGAGUGCCACCAGAUGCUAUCACUGAAACUCUCCUGCAGCGGUUCCCCAGGGGAGCCUCGCCUUAACGAAGCAAAGCAGCCCUAUCCACUAAACCCCAAGUCAGCAACUACUAUUGUCACUUGAUCAGUUCCCUUAAUUCUCAUUCAGGCCUUAAAGUGUCCAAUACACUGAUUCCUUGAUAUGCGUGUAUGUAUUCAGCGGAGCACAAUGGAGGCUAUUUUCUAGAAGUCUAUUCUAUCUUUAAUUUGUUUUGCACUCAAUAAAUAUUCGUUAUUUGCUCGCCACUGUCUUACUGAGUCCCUCCCGGGAGGCACUGGAAUCCCUCAGGUGCACUGGAGCAGAAAAACGCUGCAAUCCAGUGUCACAAGGUAAAAUGACAAUUACUUCUAAUUACCCAAAUACAUUUCUAGUUUACACUGCAUAAAUGUUAACUCUCUUCUCUUACCCUUACUAUGUGAAUAGCUGGGAGGCAGCUUGGUAUGAAGGAAAGAGAUGGACUCGGGAGUCAGAGCCACACCACCUCCUAGGGAAGUUCCUGUUAACCUCUAGGUUUUUGAUCAUCAUCAUCAUCAUCAUUAUCAUCACCAUCACCAUCAUCAUAACCAUCAUCGCAGCAGCCAACACAACCAAUUAACUAAGGUAAAGAAAACACCUAGCUUUUAAGCUUAUUGUGGGAAUUAAAUAUAUAUGUUAAGACUAGCACAAGAAAGACACCCCGCAACGGCUGCCUUCCAUCCUCUUUCCCUCAAUAGGUCUUCGGGCACUGUGACAUAUAUUCACAAGCCUGCCACAGCCAGGUCCCCCACAUUCAUUGUAUGUUCUGUGGUUUUACACAACUUCUGUUGGUAAAUCUGGCCUUAUGUCCAUUAACAGGAAACACACGCAAAUGAACACUUUUCUAUAUAUACUAUCAACUAUAAUUAUUGCUGGUUUAAAAUAAAAUUUCUAGGGGCCAGCCCAGUGGCACAGCAGUUAAGUUCGCACGUUCUGCUUCCAUGGCUCAGGGAUCGCCAGUUUGGAUCCUAGGUGCGAACCUACGCACCAUGUGCCAAGCCAUGCUGUGGUAGGCGUCCCACAUAUACAGUAGAGGAAGAUGGGCACAGAUGUUAGCUCAGGGCCAGUCUUCCUCAGCAAAAAAAAGGAGGAGGAUUGGCAGAUGUUAGCUCAGGGCUAAUCUUCCUCAAAAAAAAUAAAUAAAUAAAAUAAAAUUUCUAAUUUAUUAUAGUCAUUACCAGCAAGCAACAUGCCCAAUGUUUUUACUUUGCACGUUUUAGCAGUUUCCCAAGUCUACAGUUUCCAAGAAUGUCAGUUCUCAACAAGGCCAAGGGGCUUGUCCAAGCUGAGGGGAAACACAAGGAACCCAAAGGGGACCCUAAAGAGACCUACCCACAGCGAUUCCUCGUUUAUGGACGUUAACCAAACUCAGAGCCUUCCAGCUCUGACAUGCUAACAGAAGUGAGUCAUGAAGGCAUGGGUGCUGGCCCAGUAAGCCAGGCAGCGGACGGGCUCCAUCAGGGUACUGCAGAGAAGUGCCACCUGGGAUGAGGUGGUCAAAAUGAGCCCAUUCUCCCUAGAAGGGGAACCUGAGCCGUUGGGGUCCCACUCUUGCCUGCAGGAACCUGUGGGCACAGACAACGGCAAGCUACCCCAUCCUCACACCAAGGUCCCCUCUGUCCUCCAGGCAGGCAUCCACCGGAGGCCAGGCUAGUCAGUGGGCCCCCACAGAGGUUCUCCAGCUCAUCUUCCUCUUCUUCUCCAUCCUGCUGCAACCGCCAAGCAUCAGACCCCACCACCUGGCACCUAGACCGAGGGUGUUCAUAAUUGGCCUGCCUGCUCUAACCUCCCCCAUGCCCAAACCAUCCCACACACGGACACAACUCGGUUGCACACACACACCCCUGCCCUGCAAAGUCCUCUGUGUCUCCCCAUUACCCAGACCAAAGUUCACAAGAUGCCCUCAGGAAUCACGGUCGAUGGUGGAAUACGGACCGUAGGGUGUCGGAGUAAGACGUGCAGAUGCUUCAGAGAUGCACACGAGCAGAUGUACAGGGUCCAGAAUUGGCUUUAAAACAGUUCAGCAAAAGGGAGAGGGAGCAAGGCAGGGGGGCAGCUGAAGCGAACAGGGCAAACUCUUCAUAAUUGUUGAAUAUAGUGAUGGUAUAUAGGGUACACUGUACUUUCCUCUCUGCUUUGUGUAUUUGAACUAUUUCACAUUAAAAAUGAUUAAAUGCUUUUUAAAGCAAAAAAAAAAAAAAGGCCAUCUGGGGAGAGGGAAAAAAAGGCUCCCUAAGCAUGGAACUUGAAAAAUCAUCAUAUGUCUUGUGUAUUUCAGUGCCAAAGAACAACUCCGCCCCCAGAACUCAGCUCCCUAUUAUCCUUGAAAACAUUAAUCUCCGUACUUAACUAAUUCUUAGCCUACUAAGUUCAUAAUUAAUAUAAUGAUUAACACUGUAAGUCACAGAGUGUAAGAACACACUAAAAAUAAAUCCAGUAAUUCAUUUCCUGUCCAGUAGUAUCUUCUUCAACCCAUUCUUGGAUUUUGCUGAAUCCAAGUUAAAAAACAAAACAACUACGUAACAACGGCCUGCGGAGGUCCUGUAACUUACCAUUACAAGUGUUCCAUACAAAUGAUUCCAGGGGAUCAACUGGACAACAAGUUUGGGAUAGGAGGGCAGAAAAACAGACUAGGAAACCCAGUCCCAGGAAGGGGCCUGGCCCAAAGGCUCCCAGCUGAUGGGGGCAGAAUGGGCCUCCAAAUCAGUGCUACUGAAAAUCAGUGAGUUAAAUAAAUGACAGCCAAUUCACGCCUUGGAAUACUCAUCAACUAAAUUCCAGUUUUAAGUAGCUAAUUCUCAAUGAUGAUAUUAUAGUUGAUUCUUCUUUUUAUUUAUCAUAUUUAGUAGUGAUUUUUUUCUACAUAUAUAUAGACACGCACACAUACACAAAUGAUAUCCACAAAAAUGUCAGCAAAAACUUAUGAGAAAUGGGAUUAGAGCUUUUGAUCUCCAAUUUAGAAACAAACAAAACAUUUUUAAGACUAUAUUGUCAUAUGACUUCAUGCCGUCUCACCGAUUAACCUUCGGGUUUCCUGCCACUGCUUUUAUUUGUUUGGCUAGUUCAGUUUUAAAGAGAUUUGGCUACUUUUUCCUUUGUUGGUUUUGAUAUUAAGCUUUUAGUUAGAUUAAAACCCAGAGGUUCCGGGUUAUACACAUAUGCAAAUACCCAACUAGAGCUCAAAACUGAAUCCUGUGGCUGGAGCACACAGCCGUCAGCUCCUAUUCAGAUGUACCACAACAAACUUACCUUCCACAAAUGAGUGCCCCUCCUGUCUCUUCCUGGUGUAAUCUAUUGGAUUGCAAUUUACAAAAGUUAGCUAGGAAGAGGAUAAAAAUAACUUUUAGGCUCUUCUCUUCCUUUCCGAAUGCUAGGACCAGAUCCCUGAGCAGUUAAGACUAGGCGCCUUCCCAUGUUAACAUUUGCUGAGUCAAAAGAAUAAUUUGGCUUAAAUAACAACCAGAGAGCAUCAGUAGUUGGUCAAACAUCCAAACAAGAAAAGGUUCUAGGGGCCAGCCUGGUGGCGCAGCAGUUAAGUGUGCAUGUUCUACUUCUGCAGCCCAGGAUUGGCUGGUUUGGAUCCUGGGUGCGGACCUACGCACUACUUGUAGAGCCAUGCUGUGGCAGGCGUCACACAUAUAAAGUAGAGGAAGAUGGGCACAGAUGUUAGCUCAGGGCCAGUCUUCCUCAGCAAAAAGAGGAGGAUUGGGGGCUGGCCCCGUGGCCUAGUGGUUAAGUUCGUGCGUUCCACCGCAGGCGGCCCAGUGUUUUGUCAGUUCGAAUCCUGGGUGCAGACAUGGCACUGUUCAUCAAGCCAUGCUGAGGCAGUGUCCCACAUGCCACAACUAGAAGGACCCACAACUAAGAAUAUACAACUAUGUACCGGGGGGCUGUGGGGAGAAAAAGGAAAAAAAAUAAAAUCUUCCAAAAAAAAAAAAAAGAGGAGGAUUGGUGGCAGAUGUUAGCUCAGGGCUAACCUUUUUCAAAAAAAACGUUCUAGCUAAGACUGGAAUAGAGACAUUAUGUUCAGUAAGCUGGACUGGCCACAGCAAGCUGUGACAGGGCUUCAGUUAUCUUGGGCUGAAAUCUCUGUUCAGUCAACUAAACCAUUUCUUUGUUUUUGAGCUCUCUUUGAAGGAGUUCUCACAUACAUUCCUUAACUUCCUAGCACAAUUUUUUUGAAAUAUCCCAAUUCUACUGAAGUGGCAAGACUGACAGGCCAACAGUCAGGGAGGCUGAUGUUCUUACCAAUCACUGUUUGGGCAGCAUCCCAGCCAGAGAUCCAGAAAACGGAUUACGACUUUGCAAAAAUUCCACCCUCAGGCAUAGCAGCGGCUGUCAAUCACUUCCCACUUUGCACUCCUCUUUAGGCCAUACCCUCUAGCCAGACUAAAACCCAGUGACCACUUCUCUUUGCUGCAUUAUGAACACAACACUAACAACAAUAACUGUCAUUAUUGCAUAUCUGAUAUGUCAGGCAUUGCUGUACGGUUUCCACAUAAAGGAUUUUAUCUAAUCCUCACAACCCUAGGAAACAGGAAUCAUUGUCCACAUUUCACAGUUGACCAACACAGCCUGAGACAGGAAAAGCGACUUUCCCUAGUCACACAGCUACAAAGUACUCAAACUAAGUUCUCCACGAAGGAACACACGAUCUUUUCAUCUAUGUAUUACAAAGCCAAACGGUACUUUUGAAAGGCUGUUAAAUAAUAUUGGCGGAUGGGAGGGUAGGGAAUUCUACACAUUCAGAAUAAACGCAGGAUUUUCCUGCAGGGGAAAUACAAAACUUUCUAUCUACUUAAAAGAAAAAGUGUCUCCUGAGUGAAAAUGUCUAUACAAACUAAAAAUUCCAAAGGAUUCUCCCUACACUUAAGACAUAUGCUAAAUUAUCUAUCCUCUACUACUCUCUUUCCUAGCACUUUUCUCCUCACCUCAUUUGUACAACUGCAAAGAGAGGUAAUUAAAUACAGUAAUUGCUGCUGGAACUUCUGAAAGCUUUCCAAGUUUCCUAUAUAAUUAAUUCUACAUAAGUUCUUUCAAUUUUGUGUUCCCUUUUCAGCCUGCAGUCUUAAACUGUAAUCACAGCCUCUAAACCUGUGCGCUCAUAAAUCUUUGUUCCCCGCAGGGCUGCCUUUCAUUUCCCAUGCCUUUUUAAGGUACAGGGCGGAAAAUAAGCUCAUCACUGAUUUACAAGACGUGGAAUUUAAAAGGAAUCUCAGAAAUUAUAUCUCAAGUCACAUGAAUUAAUCGAGCCCACGGUCACAAAACUGGGCAGAGGCAAAGCCAAGACCAAAAUUCAUGCCUUUCAAAAGACUUUUCUUAUUACAGCAAGAGGAUGAAUCUAGACUCUGCAAGGCAGUCCCGACACUGUUUUGCUAUUCUUCAGCACUAACAAUAAUACUGAUCAAUCAUUGCAACUGCUUUAUGCAAAAUUAAUUACACGUGGAAAGACGCUAAAAUUCAGAGCUACAUUAACUUUCCGAGCAAAUUAAUUCGACCCGUCCAUGCAAACGUGAGCCAACCUGGCGUGUUCCAGGACCAAUUCAAAGUACAGCGUGCCCUUUCCCAGAGUACGGAGCUCGCCGGCACCCGGCUGCACACUCUGAAGGAAGCACGAGUGGAAGGGACGCAGAGGGGGCGAAGCAAGCGGCGAGGGCACUGGGGCACGGGCGCACACGCCAAGACAGACGGGCCUCACACUCGGAUCUCAGCGACACUGGAGCAGCAAUGACCCCACACCGCCCAGGAAAGAGGGCCGGAGCCGACGCUCCUGCGGAACUGGCCCGACCCAAGAAAGCGGCAGCCGGAGCAGCGGGGCCUGCCCCGGAACCUCGCACCCACGGAGCCCGGCCCCGCACGCCAACUCGAGAGCAGCGCCAGCCACAGUCCCAGCCCCCGGCACUUACCCGGACGCGGCGGCGCAGCAGCACAGCACCUCCUCCUCCGCAGGCUCAGAGCCCGCGGCCGCCCAAGAACUGGAGAAAAGGCCGCCGAACGCCAGGGGCGGCC
ensembl:lncRNA